CGGACGGGACGACCCGUCCGGCGUGACGACUUCUUCGGGACGGCCCGA
rnacentral:ncRNA from 1 species